GACGAACGCUGGCGGCGUGCUUAACACAUGCAAGUCGAGCGGUAAGGCUCCUUCGGGAGUACACGAGCGGCGAACGGGUGAGUAACACGUGAGCAAUCUGCCCUUCACUUUGGGAUAACUCCGGGAAACCGGUGCUAAUACCGAAUGCGACCACUUCAGGCAUCUGACGGUGGUGGAAAGUUCCGGCGGUGAAGGAUGAGCUCGCGGCCUAUCAGCUUGUUGGUGAGGUAAUGGCUCACCAAGGCUUCGACGGGUAGCCGGCCUGAGAGGGUGACCGGCCACACUGGGACUGAGACACGGCCCAGACUCCUACGGAGGCAGCAGUGGGGAAUAUUGGACAAUGGGCGAAAGCCUGAUCCAGCAACGCCGCGUGAGGGAUGACGGCC
rnacentral:rRNA from 1 species